UGAGGAAUUUUGCACAAUGGGCGAAAGCCUGAUGCAGCAACACCGCGUGAUUGAUGAAGUUUUUAGGAAUGUAAAAAUCUGUCGUAAGGGAAGAAAUGUUUCGGAUGUUAAUACCAUCUGUUACUGACGGUACCUUACAAGAAAGGACCGGCUAACUUCGUGCCAGCAGCCGCGGUGAUACGAGGGGUCCUAGCGUUGUCCGGAUUUACUGGGCGUAAAGGGUACGUAGGCGUUUUAAUAAGUUGUAUGUUAAAUAUCUUAGCUUAACUAAGAAUGUGCAUACAAAACUGUUAAGAUAGAGUUUGAGAGAGGAACGCAGAAUUCAUGGUGGAGCGGUGACAUGCGUAGAUAUCAUGAGGAAAGUCAAAUGCGAAGGCAGCCUUCUGGCUCAAAACUGACGCUGAGGUACGAAAGCGUGGGGAGCGAACAGGAUUAGAUACCCUGGUAGUCCACGCCGUAAACGAUGAGUAUUUGGUGCUGGGGGAUUCGACCCUUUCAGUGCCGUAGCUAACGCGAUAAAUACUCCGCCUGGGGACUACGAUCGCAAGAUUG
rnacentral:rRNA from 1 species